rnacentral:lncRNA from 1 species
GCUUAGCAAAAUCUUAUUUACGUCAAUAUACAACUUUAAACAAGAAACCAUAUUUUGAGUAAGGAAACCAAUCAAAAUUUGAGAAAAGUUUUUUUUUUUUUGCUGACUUUUAUCUUAGCAGGUAGUUCCCUGAUUUUGUGCAAGUACUAUCCCAAGAAUUAGACAAAAAAUGAUUGUAAGACAACCUAACAUCGAUUAUUAGCUAUCCAUAAUCUAGUUCAGGUUCCUCCAUCUACUGACUUAAUUUUAAAGCUGUGUCCAAGACACCAAGCAGUGGAGUUAGUCGUGGCCCCUGGGUAAAACAGAAAAUCAAAUGGUUCUCUUUGUUCUUCACUAAUUUCAUACAAUGCGAGCGAUUAAAUAAGCUCCAAG